AUGGGAGGUACUGUGCUAGCCUUGGAGAAUGUGUCAGAUGCAAAAAGCACAGCUAUGGGACUGCCAUUAAUUUAUUCCUGUAAAUGCUGGCUCUGCUCUAUUAGCAGCAUUCUCCAGAUUCUCAAAAAUCCAGGAGGGCAGCCUGAAUAAGCACAGCUGCAGCCAAGAAGAAGGCCCUGACAAAUGAAACCACCCAUUUUGAAAGUCUGUGAAGAGAUGGAGAGCUGACACAGAGCUGAGGCCAGGCAAGGAGACAGAGCUCAGGUGUCAGAAGCUUGCACAAAUAAUGCACACCCUCUGCCCUUCCACACAGUGGAACAAAGCCACUGCUUGCCAUCACCCAGGCUCCUGCUGCCUGCUAGGAAAGCAAGUGAUGAGUGCAUCUCUAAAACCCAGCUCUGAGACAGCAGCUUGAACCUCUUUUGGGAGCCCCACGCGCUGCCAGGGUGCGCGCUCCGACGCGCGGGGAGACGCUGCGGGCUCGGUUUUAUCUGCCAGAGCCAAGGCAGGAGCACACACGGGCUCACCCACCUUCUGCAAAGGUUAUUCAUCACCACAGCAACCUCCAAACAAAGGUGGGAGCCAAGUCAAACCGACUGGCUUCACCCAGCCCUGUCCCUCUGAUGACAGAGGGCAAAGGUGCUCUCUGCUUGUGCCCUACAGGGGACUUAAUUGCUUGGGUUUGUUUUUAUGUCACUGGGUCUCACAAUUCCACUCUCAGCAUCCCAGCGUGCCCAGAGAGGCCACAGGGAUCCAUUAAACAAUAAAAAUUCUUCUGUAG